CCCUUCCUACGGGACGCAGCAGUCGAGAAUCAUUCACAAUGGGGGAAACCCUGAUGGUGCGACGCCGCGUGGGGGAAUGAAGGUCUUCGGAUUGUAAACCCCUGUCAUGUGGGAGCAAAUUAAAAAGAUAGUACAACAAGAGGAAGAGACGGCUAACUCUGUGCCAGCAGCAGCGGUAAUACAGAGGUCUCAAGCGUUGUUCGGAAUCACUGGGCGUAAAGCGUGCGUAGGCUGUUGCGUAAGUCGGGUGUGAAAGGCGCGGGCUCAACCCGCUGACGGCACAUGAUACUGCGCGACUAGA
rnacentral:rRNA from 1 species